GACGAACGCUGGCGGCGUGCUUAACACAUGCAAGUCGAACGGUGAAGCUCCAGCUUGCUGGAGUGGAUCAGUGGCGAACGGGUGAGUAACACGUGAGCAACCUGCCCCAGACUCUGGAAUAAGCGCUGGAAACGGCGGCUAAUACUGGAUACGAGAUCAAGCCGCAUGGUUAUGGUCUGGAAAGUUUUUCGGUUUGGGAUGGGCUCGCGGCCUAUCAGCUUGUUGGUGAGGUAAUGGCUCACCAAGGCGACGACGGGUAGCCGGCCUGAGAGGGCGACCGGCCACACUGGGACUGAGACACGGCCCAGACUCCUACGGGAGGCAGCAGUGGGGAAUAUUGCACAAUGGGCGAAAGCCUGAUGCAGCGACGCCGCGUGAGGGAUGACGGCCUUCGGGUUGUAAACCUCUUUCGGCAGGGAAGAAGCGAAAGUGACGGUACCUGCAGAAGAAGCACCGGCUAACUACGUG
rnacentral:rRNA from 1 species